UUCCCCAAUCCAACCCUAACCUCUCGCCCUGCCGCCUGCGCCGCCAAAUCCAUCUUCGCCUCCGACCUGGCGAAGCCGCCGACCACCGUCCCCAUCCCCUGCAUUCCGAAGCUUCCCGACCACCAUCCCAAUCCCGUCCGGGAGCCGGCCCUACUCCAGCCUCCACUUCCCUCUCUGUCACGCCCGGAGGAUCUGUUGCAGGCUCCUUCACAUCGACACCAAGCUGCGCCGUCCAUUGCCUGCUCCGAUCACCGCGCCACGUCUCCUCCACCAUGUGAUUCUUGGCGACCAUCGCCCCAUCCAUCUCCGGAACCUUCCCCAGCUCUCUGCACGACCCAAGUCUGCAGCAGAUCUUGGUUUCUACUUCAUAUAAGAACACGGGUACAAGUUCCAUCUUGAUAAAUACAUCACUACUUUACUAGGAAUCUAAUUUCUCUUCAUUUUGCAGGUUCUGUACUGAAACUGUUUUUUGUCUACGUUGCAAAAUUGGUGCACAUGGAGUUAGAUCUAAUUUCUCUUAGUCAUUAGACUUGAUGCAGCUUCGGUACUAAUAUCUCUGAAACUAUUUGUAAUGCCAAUUUGGGAAAUUUUGGUAGUAGUAUCUCUUCACAUUUGUUUGAGCCCUUUCCAUUUCCUUUCUAUCACGCAUAACUCCUGCCACUUUUACUAAAGCAUCAAGUAUAUUUGGCUAGGAAAAAUGGAUAUGCUGAAAAGAAAAGUUUUAUCAUCAAUAAUCAAGUUUUUUAAUAUAUAUACUAGAGUACCAUGUUAUGCCUUGUAUGCUGUAGAUCAUCUGAUUUGUGUUGAGCCAGUAGCCAUAUGUUGGUUCAGUCUAAAUCUUACUUCAUUGGUUUUUUGCUGAUUGUAUCAGCCAGAUGAAGAAAAAUAAUGAGAUUUUUUUGUGUUCUUCCAUUGCAGAACUAACUUGCGUGAAAGUAUUGUUGCUACAUCACAAUUAUGUUGAAACUCACUGUUUCAGCACACACAUCCUCUUGAGGUUUGGUAGUACUAUUUUCACGAAGGUCCAUAUUGAUUCUAAGACGUUGUUUAACUUGGAAGGGUGCAUUCAAUAGAACUUCUCGUGUUGGGCCCAAGGUAUGCCUCAGUUUUCAUGGCUUUGUCUUUUCACUUUGCAAGAGAAAGGCUUGUGGCAUGCAUCAGAUGGUCUUUCAAAUGCAAUUUUAUUAUACAUGGGUAUCGUCGUAUCGAUCUUUCGCAUAGCUCAACACCUCCUAGCCUUUUUAGGGAUGUUCUUGCGAAAAUUCUGUAUUUUGUGGGAUACUUGGUUUAUCUUGUACAGAAAUCUGAUUGUAAAUAAUGACGAUGAGAAAUACACGUACACCCACUGAAGGAAUUGAGAAUAUGAACCACAUCUAACUUGCUCUAGUUUCCAUUAAGCCUCGACAUGCCAACCUCAGAAUAUAAUUAGUGAGCGUUAAACCUGCAGAACCUAAGUAGCACUUUCUGAAUUCUUUGACGGUACUGUGAUGUCCUGGAAAAUCUUGGGCACUUGAUUAUUUACCUUGAUUACUAAAUAGCAUAGCCCCCAUGGAGUCAAAUAUGUCCAUUCUUUGUCAUUUGGUCAGCGCUCAUGAGUUUUCCUGUACAUAAUUGAAAAUUAUAAAUUACCUUGGUUCAUUGAGUCAAUAUGAUCUCCUAGAGUUCGUUCUAAUUUUCUAGCAACUACCUAUAAAUCUGUCAUGUGGGUUAGGCUCUUGUUAGUGAUAUUGUUGAGAUGGCGAGUUAUGCAUAUAACUCUUUGUAUAUGGCAACUAUCAAAUGUUUGUAUUGAUAGCUCUAUCUUUUAUUGGUUCAUGAGUUCUUAUUGAUUAAUAUCGCAAUAAUCAUGUUUGACUGAAAUAAUCAGGUGGACCAGUUGCUAUCGUCUUCUGCAAGAAACAAUACAGAACUACUAGUCACUGGAUGUAGAUGUUUUUCUUGGAAUCAAGUGUUUCUGACCUUUGAUUCAUUUACAGAAAUUAAGUUCGAUUGUAUUAGAAGAGAUGCGAAUUAGUAACUGUAUUGAUGUCACAAGUGAUUGAUUUUGAUAUGCAGUUCUGAAUAUGCAAGUAUUGGAAUGAUUUGUGGACUACUUUUACUAAAUUUUUUUGUUUUUUCAAUACCCGUUUCUCCUGAGGGUUACAUCCUGACAGGGAUAAGUAGGCUAUUUCCUGUCUGCCCAAAACCGUCA